AUUGAACGCUGGCGGCAUGCCUUACACAUGCCAGUCGAACGGUAACAGGUCUUCGGAUGCUGACGAGUGGCGAACGGGUGAGUAAUACAUCGGAACGUGCCCGAUCGUGGGGGAUAACGAAGCGAAAGCUUUGCUAAUACCGCAUACGAUCUACGGAUGAAAGCGGGGGAUCUUCGGACCUCGCGCGGACGGAGCGGCCGAUGGCAGAUUAGGUAGUUGGUGGGAUAAAAGCUUACCAAGCCGACGAUCUGUAGCUGGUCUGAGAGGAUGAUCAGCCACACUGGGACUGAGACACGGCCCAGACUCCUACGGGAGGCAGCAGUGGGGAAUUUUGGACAAUGGGCGCAAGCCUGAUCCAGCCAUGCCGCGUGCAGGAUGAAGGCCUUCGGGUUGUAAACUGCUUUUGUACGGAACGAAAAGGUGCCUUCUAAUAAAGGGCGCUCAUGACGGUACCGUAAGAAUAAGCACCGGCUAACUACGUG
rnacentral:rRNA from 1 species